CGUAGGGCGGAGCGUUGUCCGGAAUUAUUGGGCGUAAAGCGCGCGCAGGCGGCUCUUUAAGUCAGGUGUGAAAGGCUGCGGCUCAACCGCAGAGCGGCACCUGAAACUGGAGAGCUUGAGUGCAGGAGAGGGAGUGGAAUUCCCGGUGUAGCGGUGGAAUGCGUAGAGAUCGGGAGGAACACCAGUGGCGAAGGCGACUCUCUGGCCUGUAACUGACGCUGAGGCGCGAAAGCGUGGGAGCAAACAGGAUU
rnacentral:rRNA from 1 species